rnacentral:snRNA from 1 species
GGAAGUGUGUGUUGUCUGUUUGUGAUGGCACGUAGCUGGACAUUGAUCGCUAGACCGUUUGGUAGUGUUUGCAGAUCUGCUCAGUGGCAUCCGUCACACCAUUAAUCUACUCCCAGUAAUAAAAACAAUACUGGCGGACGUGUAAUAGUGGAGUUCAGUUGGUUGGUCUUCUGAUGCACGGCAACGGGUCGGACGCACAGUUAUGCGUGGACAAAGGUGGCGGCGUCGCGGUGACUCCCUCCCCAGAGUUGCCUGGUCCCAAAGCCUUUGGUUUCACGCUGAGACCAACGACGAGCUUCCAAGUUCGCCGUUUUCAAAAUUUCUUGGUUAAGUAACUUGUAGCUUAGCUUCGGAUUUUCGUAAAUUUGCUGUUCAGAACACUUCCAUACCAGUGGCAUUGCCGAGCAAUUUGCCCAUUUCUUUUG